ensembl:lncRNA
GGUCCUGCUCCCACCAAUGUGUGCUCAACAUGAACCUCAAAUGGAGCAACCAGACCCCACUACGUGAUACAGCAGACUGAAGAAUUUGGAGGCAGAGAAAGAAUGGGAUUGAGUUAUAGACAAAAGAUAAAGAAGAAGAGGCUAGAAGUGAGAAUAAAAAGUAUUUAUAGAGUAUGGUAUUUUUGGAAACGAUUUGAAGUGUUUAAUUUGAGAGUUCUGGAGUUCAUUUCCCCUAGCUAAUUACAGGAUUGGAAUCUUUCUUAAUAACUCAUUAAAGAUGAAUGGAAGUGUUAACAGAAUACAUUAUUUUCUUGCAUAAUUAACAAUGGAAACAUGAACAUCAAAAAUGAAACAGCUUUAAGGGUAACACAUGCAUAUUUGAUAGCACUACAGCCACAUCUCUUUAUUUGUUUUUGCCAGUUCAUCCCGUCUAUUAAAUGCCACUUCAGCAGAUAAGAAUUAGUUAUAUUUUAUGUCCACAUCAUCAAUGUAACAGAUGUAUCAGUGUGCUCACAACAGCAGUUAAGUAUUAUUACUUAUUUUUUAAAGUCCCUUAGCAGUGUGAUAAUGUCACUGAAAAUGGUUACUGCAGUAGACAGGAACUUGCGUGACCCCUGCUGGGUUAUCUUUUCCAGGCUGUGUAAGUGAACCUCAUUAUCUCUGUAGUCCUUUUGAGUAAUGAAUAAUUAAAUUCUUACAGUCAUGCAAGCUGUUGAAAUAUGGCAGAAAUCCUUAUUUUGAUUUCUUGUCCUGCUUCCUGGAGAAGUUGCAGAAACAGACUACAUUUAACCUGGCAUUUACACACUCCAUUGAAAGUUAUUUGACUCAAUGUAGUCAAAUAUUCACAAGAAAUCUUGGUACACUGAUGAAACAAGACUGUUCUCACUGAUUUCAAGAAGGUCUAAUUCUUAACUUAGCCAUUUUUUUAAAGAAGAACCGUCCGUGAGAAAAUACUUUGCAGUCAUUGCUUACAGGUGAAAUGUGGGGCAGUUUUACUAUUUGGUAAACCAUUUUUUAAAUACGGGUAUCAAUUUUGUGAAGAACUGAGAUUGAAAAGGAGAAGGGUUUAACCCAGAGUUUGGAGGCAUGCUGUUAAACAGCAGUGAUACUCCCUUGUUUAAAACUGCUGUUUUUAUUGGGAAAAGCAUAUUAUGGCCUAUCUGCCACUGACAGAUGGAGAAUGUUUUGACCUGAAUCAUGAUAAAUUCAGCAGGAAGACGUGUGGAUCCAGUUGUGCUGUUGUUUGGGAUGAAGGAGAGGAAGCAAGCUCACAGGGUCAAGGCAGACCUUCUGCCAACUUCUGCAGGAGCUGCUGAUCUUCCCUUCUUGCUUUCUUUCCACAUUUUCCACCCCCAAAGAUAGCUGCAUUAUACAACAGAUCACGAUGGUUUGCUCAGCCACCCCGUAGGUACAGGACAGCUAAUGGGGGUGCACCCUCACUGCCUUCCUCUCCAAUAGCAGAAAGAAGCUGUAGCUCCUUCCUUUGGGUUUAUGGUGGAAUAGUUCUUUGAGGAGUCCAGAGAAAACGGGCUUUCUCUCUGCGUGGGGCCUAGCACCAAUGAAAUCCACGCAGAUCAGUCACACACUGGUUGAACGGGACUUGUCAUCCACAGUUAUUCCAUCUGAAAACAGAAUCAAUUCCAAAAUCCUCUGGCUUUGAAAGACCACACCACUGUCCGUGACUCAGCUUGCAGCUGGGUCCCCGGUGCCCUAUGAAGGACGGGGUGGGCACCGGGAUUUUCCACCCACCCCGCCCGACCGCUGGAGCCCUGCCAGACGGGGCCGGGCCGCCAACAAACGGAGGAUGCCGGGG